rnacentral:rRNA from 1 species
UACGAAGGGGGCUAGCGUUGCUCGGAUUUACUGGGCGUAAAGGGCGCGUAGGCGGAUGACCAAGUUGGGGGUGAAAUCCCGGGGCUUAACCUCGGAACUGCCUCCAAAACUGGUCGUCUUGAGUUUGGGAGAGGUGUGUGGAACUCCGAGUGUAGAGGUGAAAUUCGUAGAUAUUCGGAAGAACACCAGUGGCGAAGGCGACACACUGGCCCAAUACUGGACCGCUGAGCGCGAAAGCGGUGGGGAGCAAACAGG